UAUUGCACAAUGGGGGAAACCCUGAUGCAGCGACGCCGCGUGAAGGAAGAAGUAUCUCGGUAUGUAAACUUCUAUCAGCAGGGAAGACAAUGACGGUACCUGACUAAGAGGCCCCGGCUAACUACGUGCCAGCAGCCGCGGUAAUACGAAGGGGGCAAGCGUUAUCCGGAGUUACUGGGUGUACAGGGAGCGUAGAGGGAUCUGCAAGUCUGGAGUGAAAGCCCGGGGCUCAACCCCGGUACUGCUUUGGAAACUGUAGGUCUAGAGUGCCGGAGAGGUAAGCGGAAUUCCUAGUGUAGCGGUGAAAUUCGUAGAUAUUAGGAGGAACACCAGUGGCGAAGGCGGCUUACUGGACGGUAACUGACGUUGAGGCUCGAAAGCGUGGGGAGCAAA
rnacentral:rRNA from 1 species